AAAAUAAAAGUUAAAAAUAAAUAAAUAAAUAAAAACACCAAAAAUUUUUUUUAAAAAAAUCAAAAGACCCAUUAAAUCAUCAGGUUGCAGCCUAGGGAACUGAUUAACAUUGGCUGAAUACAUGUUGUGUGCUAGGAUUAUUAGGCAUGUUAAUAAAAUCAUUGAAACAAAAAACAAAACAAAAAAGAUGUACAGAAGAAAAUUAGGUAAGUAGAAAGUAUUUCUCUUGAACUUCUUAUAAACAGUCAUGAAGAUGGAACUUCUUCAGGCACAUGCCUUUGAAUCUACCAUUGAAUUUGUUUUCCGCCUCACUAUGAUCAGAGGUGGCAAUUCUGAAUAGUUUAAGAAGGAGUCUGUUCGUGGGACAGGAGUGGGUGGGGUGGUGGGGUGUAUAUAUAUGUAUCUAUGAGUGAGAUUAAUAAAUGUGAUUCAAUGUAUAAUUUUAUUUUGUCCUAGGCCCUGCAUUCUAAGAUUUCAUGCUGGUAGGGAUGAUACCGGCCUUUUUUUUUUUUUUUUUUUUUUUUUGCCAGUUUUACAUACACAGCUAUCAGAUUAUUAUAAAUUUAAGAGUCAAUCCUGGAGUGACAUGAGUAGCAGAAUGCCAAGUCCAUGAGUCACUUGAUAACUACUGGACAUGCACAUGAGAAUAUGAUGAGGAUGGUGCCUUAGAAUGGGGAUUCUCAAUCUGAGGGUGACUUACUAGCAUGACUGUGCACUGGGAAAAAGGAGAUACCUAGACCAUGACUGUGCGCUGGGAAAAAGGAAAUACCCAGACUUUUCAGGUAUUCCUAGAUACUUAAUAUGAACUGAUGCUAUUCCUGGGCACUCCAAACUCUCUGUACUGUACCAGUCAAAUGGGAGCUUAUGGUGGCCAAGUGAUAGAUAGAGGCUUAGAUAGAGGUAGCAGUUAGCUGGUGAUUUCUUCCCUGGUUCCUGAAUGUAGAGUUAGAAUAGACAUACUUGGCAAUUGGCAAAAUCUCUGUUUCUUGCUACCAUGUCAAGCUUUACCCCUUUGAGUGUGUUAUUGUCUAUGAAUUUUUUUUUUUUUGAGACAGAGUUUUCCUCUUAUUUCCCAGGCUGGAGUGCAAUGGCAUGAUCUUGGC